UUGAAGAGUUUGAUCAUGGCUCAGAUUGAACGCUGGCGGCAGGCCUAACACAUGCAAGUCGAGCGGUAGCACAGAGAGCUUGCUCUCGGGUGACGAGCGGCGGACGGGUGAGUAAUGUCUGGGAAACUGCCUGAUGGAGGGGGAUAACUACUGGAAACGGUAGCUAAUACCGCAUAACGUCGCAAGACCAAAGUGGGGGACCUUCGGGCCUCAUGCCAUCAGAUGUGCCCAGAUGGGAUUAGCUAGUAGGUGGGGUAACGGCUCACCUAGGCGACGAUCCCUAGCUGGUCUGAGAGGAUGACCAGCCACACUGGAACUGAGACACGGUCCAGACUCCUACGGGAGGCAGCAGUGGGGAAUAUUGCACAAUGGGCGCAAGCCUGAUGCAGCCAUGCCGCGUGUGUGAAGAAGGCCUUCGGGUUGUAAAGCACUUUCAGCGGGGAGGAAGGCGAUAAGGUUAAUAACCUUGUCGAUUGACGUUACCCGCAGAAGAAGCACCGGCUAACUCCGUGCCAGCAGCCGCGGUAAUACGGAGGGUGCAAGCGUUAAUCGGAAUUACUGGGCGUAAAGCGCACGCAGGCGGUCUGUCAAGUCGGAUGUGAAAUCCCCGGGCUCAACCUGGGAACUGCAUUCGAAACUGGCAGGCUAGAGUCUUGUAGAGGGGGGUAGAAUUCCAGGUGUAGCGGUGAAAUGCGUAGAGAUCUGGAGGAAUACCGGUGGCGAAGGCAGCCCCCUGGACAAAGACUGACGCUCAGGUGCGAAAGCGUGGGGAGCAAACAGGAUUAGAUACCCUGGUAGUCCACGCCGUAAACGAUGUCGAUUUGGAGGUUGUGCCCUUGAGGCGUGGCUUCCGGAGCUAACGCGUUAAAUCGACCGCCUGGGGAGUACGGCCGCAAGGUUAAAACUCAAAUGAAUUGACGGGGGCCCGCACAAGCGGUGGAGCAUGUGGUUUAAUUCGAUGCAACGCGAAGAACCUUACCUUGGUCUUGACAUCCACAGAACUUUCCAGAGAUGGAUUGGUGCCUUCGGGAACUGUGAGACAGGUGCUGCAUGGCUGUCGUCAGCUCGUGUUGUGAAAUGUUGGGUUAAGUCCCGCAACGAGCGCAACCCUUAUCCUUUGUUGCCAGCGGUCCGGCCGGGAACUCAAAGGAGACUGCCAGUGAUAAACUGGAGGAAGGUGGGGAUGACGUCAAGUCAUCAUGGCCCUUACGACCAGGGCUACACACGUGCUACAAUGGCAUAUACAAAGAGAAGCGACCUCGCGAGAGCAAGCGGACCUCAUAAAGUAUGUCGUAGUCCGGAUUGGAGUCUGCAACUCGACUCCAUGAAGUCGGAAUCGCUAGUAAUCGUAGAUCAGAAUGCUACGGUGAAUACGUUCCCGGGCCUUGUACACACCGCCCGUCACACCAUGGGAGUGGGUUGCAAAAGAAGUAGGUAGCUUAACCUUCGGGAGGGCGCUUACCACUUUGUGAUUCAUGACUGGGGUGAAGUCGUAACAAGGUAACCGUAGGGGAACCUGCGGUUGGAUCACCUCCUU
rnacentral:rRNA from 1 species